rnacentral:rRNA from 1 species
GACGAACGCUGGCGGCGUGCUUAACACAUGCAAGUCGAACGGAAAGGCUCCAGCUUGCUGGAGUUCUCGAGUGGCGAACGGGUGAGUAACACGUGGGUAAUCUGCCCUGCACUCUGGGAUAAGCCUGGGAAACUGGGUCUAAUACUGGAUAUGAUCUUUCUCCCUAUGGGGUUCGGUGGAAAGUUUUUCGGUGUAGGAUGAGCCCGCGGCUUAUCAGCUUGUUGGUGGGGUGAUGGCCUACCAAGGCGACGCCGGGUAGCCGGCCUGAGCAGGGGAUCGGGCACAUUGGGACUGAGGUACGGCCCAGACUCCUACAGGAGGCAGCGGUGGGGAAUAUUGCACAGUGGGCGGGAGCCUGAUGCAGCGACGCCGCGUGAGGGAUGACGGCCUUCGGGUUGUAAACCUCUUUCAGCAGAGACGAAGCGUAAGUGACGGUACCUGCAGAAGAAGCACCGGCUAACUAUGUG